rnacentral:rRNA from 1 species
AAUAGAUACCCGGUAGUCCAUGCCGUAAACGUUGGGAACUAGAUGUAGGGACCAUUCCACGGUUUCUGUGUCGCAGCUAACGCAUUAAGUUCCCCGCCUGGGGAGUACGGCCGCAAGGCUAAAACUCAAAGGAAUUGACGGGGGCCCGCACAAGCGGCGGAGCAUGCGGAUUAAUUCGAUGCAACGCGAAGAACCUUACCAAGGCUUGACAUAUACCGGAAAAUGCUGGAAACAGUCUCCCGCAAGGUCGGUAUACAGGUGGUGCAUGGUUGUCGUCAGCUCGUGUCGUGAGAUGUUGGGUUAAGUCCCGCAACGAGCGCAACCCUCGUUCUAUGUUGCCAGCACGUCAUGGUGGGAACUCAUAGGAGACUGCCGGGGUCAACUCGGAGGAAGGUGGGGAUGACGUCAAAUCAUCAUGCCCCUUAUGUCUUGGGCUUCACGCAUGCUACAAUGGCCGAUACAAAGGGCUGCAAUACCGCAAGGUGGAGCGAAUCCCAAAAAGUCGGUCUCAGUUCGGAUUGAGGU